rnacentral:piRNA from 1 species
UCGAUUAGUAGACAAAACUAG